rnacentral:rRNA from 1 species
UACGUAGGGUCCGAGCGUUGUCCGGAAUUAUUGGGCGUAAAGGGCUCGUAGGCGGUUCGUCACGUCGGGAGUGAAACUCGGAGCUUAACUCCGAGCCUGCUUCCGAUACGGGCAGACUAGAGGUAUGCAGGGGAGAACGGAAUUCCUGGUGUAGCGGUGAAAUGCGCAGAUAUCAGGAGGAACACCGGUGGCGAAGGCGGUUCUCUGGGCAUGUCCUGACGCUGAGGAGCGAAAGUGUGGGGAGCGAACAGG